rnacentral:rRNA from 1 species
CCAGACUCCUACGGGAGGCAGCAGUGAGGAAUAUUGGUCAAUGGCCGGAAGGCUGAACCAGCCAAGCCGCGUGAAGGAAGAAGGCGCCAAGCGUCGUAAACUUCUUUUGUCGGGGAACAAAGGGCGCCACGUGUGGCGUUGUGAGUGUACCCGAAGAAAAAGCAUCGGCUAACUCCGUGCCAGCAGCCGCGGUAAUACGGAGGAUGCGAGCGUUAUCCGGAUUUAUUGGGUUUAAAGGGUGCGUAGGCGGGAUGCCAAGUCAGCGGUAAAAAUGCGGUGCUCAACGCCGUCGAGCCGUUGAAACUGGCGUUCUUGAGUGGGCGAGAAGUAUGCGGAAUGCGUGGUGUAGCGGUGAAAUGCAUAGAUAUCACGCAGAACUCCGAUUGCGAAGGCAGCAUACCGGCGCCCUACUGACGCUGAGGCACGAAAGCGUGGGUAUCGAACAGGAUUAGAUACCCGAGUA